rnacentral:tRNA from 1 species
GUCGCUGUGGCGCAAUUGGUUAGCGCGUUCGGCUGUUAACCGACAAGGUUGCUGAUUCAAGCCCAGCCUGGGACG